UACGUAGGGACCAAGCGUUGUUCGGAUUUACUGGGCGUAAGGGCGCGUAGGCGGCAUGACAAGUCACUUGUGAAAUCUCCGGGCUUAACUCGGAACUGCCAAGUGAAACUGUCAAGCUAGAGUGCAGAAGGGGCAAUCGGAAUUCUUGGUGUAGCGGUGAAAUGCGUAGAUAUCAAGAGGAACACCUGAGGUGAAGACGGGUUGCUGGGCUGACACUGACGCUGAGGCGCGAAAGCCAGGGGAGCAAACGGG
rnacentral:rRNA from 1 species